GGGUCAUGACUCUGAGGAUAGGGUUGAGGCCUACUGGCUGUGUUUGGGGUCAUGACCCUGAGGAGAGGGUUGAGGCCUACUGGCUGUGUUUGGGGUCAUGACUCUGAGGAGAGGGUUGAGGCCUACUGGCUGUGUUUGGGGUCAUGACUCUGAGGAGAGGGUUGAGGCCUACUGGCUGUGUUUGGGGUCAUGACUCUGAGGAGAGUGUUGAGGCCUGGUGGUUGUGUUUGUGGUCAUGACCGAGGAGAGCAGGCUGGUCACAAGAAAGCACUGUCGAUUUUGGAUGUUUGAAAAGGUCCAGAGGACAUCGAUAUAUGCCUUUGUCAGUGCUCACCAAAAACAAACAAACACGACACUCAGAGGUGGAGUAAGCUGCUAAGACCACUGUGCCAGAGUCGUUCACACUUCUCUAGCAAGCACGGAGAGUAGUUGAUGAUAGUUAAUGGAAAAAG
ensembl:lncRNA